GAUGAACGCUGGCGGCGUGCCUAAUACAUGCAAGUCGAGCGAACAGACGAGGAGCUUGCUCCUCUGACGUUAGCGGCGGACGGGUGAGUAACACGUGGAUAACCUACCUAUAAGACUGGGAUAACUUCGGGAAACCGGAGCUAAUACCGGAUAAUAUAUUGAACCGCAUGGUUCAAUAGUGAAAGACGGUUUUGCUGUCACUUAUAGAUGGAUCCGCGCCGCAUUAGCUAGUUGGUAAGGUAACGGCUUACCAAGGCAACGAUGCGUAGCCGACCUGAGAGGGUGAUCGGCCACACUGGAACUGAGACACGGUACAGACUCCUACGGGAGGCAGCAGUAGGGAAUCUUCCGCAAUGGGCGAAAGCCUGACAGAGCAACGCCGCGUGAGUGAUGAAGGUCUUCGGAUCGUAAAACUCUGUUAUUAGGGAAGAACAAAUGUGUAAGUAACUAUGGACGUCUUGACGGUACCUAAUCAGAAAGCCACGGCUAACUACG
rnacentral:rRNA from 1 species